rnacentral:rRNA from 1 species
UUACACAUGCAAGUCGAGCGGCAGCGCGGGGGCAACCCUGGCGGCGAGCGGCGAACGGGUGAGUAACGCAUCGGAACGUAUCCUGGAGUGGGGGAUAACCCAGCGAAAGUUGGGCUAAUACCGCAUGAGCUCUGAGGAGGAAAGCGGGGGACUCGCAAGAGCCUCGCGCUGCAGGAGCGGCCGAUGUCCGAUUAGCUAGUUGGUGGGGUAAAGGCCUACCAAGGCGACGAUCGGUAGCUGGUCUGAGAGGAUGAUCAGCCACACUGGGACUGAGACACGGCCCAGACUCCUACGGGAGGCAGCAGUGGGGAAUUUUGGACAAUGGGGGCAACCCUGAUCCAGCCAUGCCGCGUGAGUGAAGAAGGCCUUCGGGUUGUAAAGCUCUUUCGGACGGAACGAAAUGGUUACGGUUAACACCUGUGACUGAUGACGGUACCGUAAGAAGAAGCACCGGCUAACUACGUGCCAGCAGCCGCGGUAAUACGUAGGGUGCGAGCGUU